rnacentral:tRNA from 1 species
GCCAAGGUGGCCGAGCGGUCUAAGGCGCCAGACUCAAGAUCUGAUUGGUUGGAUCUAGAAUCCCAACCUUGGCA